UUAGAUACCCUGGUAGUCCACGCCGUAAACGAUGUCGACUAGCCGUUGGGAUCCUUGAGAUCUUAGUGGCGCAGCUAACGCAUUAAGUCGACCGCCUGGGGAGUACGGCCGCAAGGUUAAAACUCAAAUGAAUUGACGGGGGCCCGCACAAGCGGUGGAGCAUGUGGUUUAAUUCGAAGCAACGCGAAGAACCUUACCUGGCCUUGACAUGCUGAGAACUUUCCAGAGAUGGAUUGGUGCCUUCGGGAACUCAGACACAGGUGCUGCAUGGCUGUCGUCAGCUCGAGUCGUGAGAUGUUGGGUUAAGUCCCGUAACGAGCGCAACCCUUGUCCUUAGUUACCAGCACGUUAUGGUGGGCACUCUAAGGAGACUGCCGGUGACAAACCGGAGGAAGGUGGGGAUGAGGUCAAGUCAUCAUGGCCCUUACGGCCAGGGCUACACACGUGCUACAAUGGUCGGUACAAAGGGUUGCCAAGCCGCGAGGUGGAGCUAAUCCCAUAAAACCGAUCGUAGUCCGGAUCGCACUCUGCAACUCGACUGCGUGAAGUCGGAAUCGCUAGUAAUCGUGAAUCAGAAUGUCACGGUGAAUACGUUCCCGGGCCUUGUACACACCGCCCGUCACACCAUGGGAGUGGGUUGCUCCACAAGUAGCUAGUCUAACCGCAAGGGGGACGGUUACCACGGAGUGAUUCAUG
rnacentral:rRNA from 1 species